rnacentral:miRNA from 2 species
UGAGGGGUAGAAAUGUCAUAUCAU